UCAUCCAGUUUGUAACAGAGAGAGUGAAGAGCAGAGAAUCUGGGUUACAAGCAGAAGAUAUAUUUCGAAUUGGGGUGUUUAGAGAUCUGGGUAGGAUUUGUAGAUUAUAAAUCUGUUAGUGUUGCUUUCUGGAAGAAGGAGCAGAUAGAAGAGGAAGAAGGAGAUGGGUACCGGAAGCUAUCACGGAAAUCAUCAGUCCCGGUGGCAGUCCAUUAAUGAGGUAAAUUAAUUCGAUCUCUUGGUGAUUGAUUGUGCAGGUGUCACGUCCUAAUUUUCGAAGGAUAAAUUUUCAAAAAUUUAGACAUGAUAGAUUUUAAAAUCUUCUAUCCCAAAACCUGCUCAACAACUAUCAAACUAAAAACAAAUACUGAAAAUGUAAAUGUCAACAAACUCAACAACUGAAGUAAACAUUAUAUCUCUUUAAUUACAUUAAUUUCAAAAGUCUAGUAAUAAUAACGUCGCUCACAAGAGCUUAAAAACAAAUUAACAAAAUAUACAAAAAUUGCACAUUGUCUAAAACCCAGCUCCUAAGCCACCGCCUCAACCCUGCUGAUUAUCACCUGCAGGUCUAACCUCUACACCAAAAAUUGGUGCACCGGGUUGUAAACAACAAACCCGGUAAGCUAAAAAGCCCGUAUGAGUAACUCUCAAAAUAACUCAACCCAACAACACACAAAAUAAAACCGGAAAUUCCUGCUUACAACUUAGUUCAAGAAUUGCCUCAAACAAUAAAAUUCAAAAGAGAGUAAAUAAGAAAACAUAACAAUUCACAAAACAAUCAAUCAUAAGUGAAUGCUGCAAAAAGAUAGUUCAAGAAAUCCACUAAAAAUCACACAAAUAAGAUUAAAGAGUCUCAUGCAUUAAGCAUAGUUCAGGAGAUACUCAAAGCAAGGAAGAUUAAUUGACAACAAUUAAGAACAAGUUAAAAUCACAGAACCAACACUUUACAAAAAUACAUAUACCCAUGAGUCCCAGAUACCAAUAAGAUAUCUCUCAUGACCUACAACAAACACAUGUACCCAUGAGUCCCAGAUAUUAAUAAAUACCUCUCAUGACCUACAACAACAAUUUAUGUACCCAUGGGUCCUAGAUAUCUUCAGGUACCUCCCAUAACCUACACCGACAGACGGACUAGAACUCUACUCCUAACCGUAACCAAUCACCCGGCCAAAGGCUUGAAACCUAGUUUGACUGUCCAAUAUCAAUUCAAAAAUAAUAAUAGCAUCAUAACCGUAACCAAUCAUCCGAUUAAAGACUUGGAACCCGGUUUGAUUAUUUAAACAAACAAAUCACAAUAGAGUAGAAUCAUCAUAACCGUAACCAAUCACCCGAUUAAAGGCUUGGAACCCGGUUUGACUAUCUAAACCAAAAAUCACAAUAUAAUAAAAUCAACAUCAACAACCCAAUAGUACAUCAUAAAAUUAUAUCCUUCCACAUACAUAUAUUUAUAUGCACAAGACAUAGUUAUUCCCACAAAAAUAACCUAACAAAAACCAAAAAUAUUAUAAUUUCUUAAACCUUAAAAAUAAUCAUUUAAUCCUUUCAAAAAAAAGUAAUCAUUUAAUAGGAAAACUUGUUUUAUCUUACCUAUGAGUCGUUGGCGAUCAAGCUCAUAUAUUUUAAAACAACCAAAACUAAAAUUUUUAAAUUAAAAACAUCAAAAUCAUCAACAAAAAUCAUCAUCGUAAUUCAUCAUCAUUUUAGCAUCAUCACCAUCAUCAUAAAUAUCAUUAUCAAUAACACAAUAAUUAUCAUAAUCAUUUUAUCAUCAUCACCAUCAUCAUCAUAAUAAUCAUUAUCAUAAAUGCAAUAAUUAUCAUAAUCAUCAUCACAAUUCCCUAAAUAAUUGGUUCCAAGUGAACCUUGGUGAGAUGUUACUCACCUAAAUAUUUCCGCUGCGUCUUCACAAAAAACACAACCAAAAGAGCCAAGCUAAUCACACCUAAAAUUACACAAUUAAUAACCUUAGUAACCAAGUACUAUAGGAUAUCAAACACUCUUAAACUAAACCUUUGUCCAACCUUAGUCCAAGGAAUGACAACCUUCUAAGGUCAUCCAAUUUAACAGCCCAAAACUAAAAUCCGAAGGUUUGCCCAAGGAGGGCAACUCUUCUUCAAGACCUCCCAAGGUCCUCGAUCACCCAAAACUACACCUCCUACAACUGCCAAAAACGGCUCCUACAUUCCAAAUCAUAAACUCAACAACCUCACACAAGCCUAAGCUUAAACUUAAAGUCCUAACAUGCAAUCCUUCCUCACAACCUAAAAUUUCCACAACUCAACAAACUCACAAUAAUAAGAGCUAGCUAACACCGAAACCUAGAGCUAGGAACUGCCAGACGGGCUGCCACUCGCCACCCCAAAACUUCAGAAUUUGGGCAAACUCAAAACAUCAAACUUGUAGAUUGAAGCGUGGUGAGCAACUUUAAUACCUAGAUGUUUAACCAGUCGGCCGGAAAAAGCCUCGAAACACCAACCCAAAUUCAAAAACCAAACCUGCAAAUCGACACCCAAACUUCAUUUUCAGGUCACCAAAGAGGUCUAAACAUCUCUAGCAGAGAGAGGAGAGCAGGACUCACCUAAAACUAGCCGGAAUCGUCGUCGAAAUCACCGGCUUUUCGGUGGAACAGCAGCAGCUCUGCCGCUUCGUGGCGGCUUCCAGGCGGCGCGACGGCGGGCGGGACUACUCCAGAAAUGGAGAGGGGAUCCGUGCGGACCGAAUGGGACUGACGGCGUCCAAUUUGGUUGUCGGAUGGAGGAGAACCGAGCUGGAGAAGAGAGGGUGCGCGGGAGCUCAGGAGAGAGGAGAGAGAGAGAGUGUGGUUUCUGAUUUUAAGGUUUCUGACACGACCCACCCCGAAUUUCACCCUGAAACCCGGAGUAAGUCGUGCGGGGACCACCUCCAAGGAAAAUUUACUGAAAAGAUUGAGAAAAUCUCCCUUGAAAAUGGACAACCCUAACUCGAAAAUUCCAAAUUACACUCUUAAUACAACACAUCCAAACAUCACAUAGUUAUCCUUCAGAAAUUCUAAACAUAAUAUACAAUAAUCCCAAAGUAUUCAGAGCUACUAGACACUAGCGGAAGCAAGAAAACACUAGUAGGUUAAACAAGUAACCUACUGAUGAAAACUGGCGUAAAUCCGGGUGACUAUGCCUCGCCUCCUACUAGAUCCAACCGGAACUUUGCAGACUGGGCAAUUUAAAACGAAGGGCCCAGGGAAAACAUUUAAUAACGUUAGAGUGAGUGGACAAAAAUAAAAUAAUAAAUAAAAUAUUUAUGUUUCCCCAAAUUAAUUUCUAAGGAAAAAUCGAAUGCAUGCCGCAAGCGAUAAAACUUUUAUCUCAUAAAAUAUUGAGUCUCUCAGACUCUAUAAUAUAUGUAUAUAUUUACACUUGUCCAUACUCCCUAUAUAAAUUCAUGAGUCUAUAUAGGGCUACUACGCUCGCGCCCAACUCUCACGUCACGCCUUAAUGCGGUGGUACACUACGCCAUUAAGGUGGACAGACGGGUGUAUAAAUAUGUGUACAUACCCCCUAUGUGAAUUAAACACUCAUAUAGGGCUACUACGCUCACGUCCAACGCUCACGUCACACCAUAAUGCGGCUAUAUGCUACGCCAUUAAAGUGGACAGACACAUAUGGCUAGCUAGCAUUUUAUAUACAUACUCUCUCAUAAAUACAUAUUUAUAUCCACCGAAAAUCCCAUUUUCGGUAACUCUCCAAGAGAAAUAAAAUUCGUCAAAUUAAAAUGACGUCAAAAUAUUCCGCAACAAUUAUUGUUCAACCAUGAACUCUAGCAUGCAUUUUAUUUAAAACAAAAGUCCACUCACUAAUUAGGCCUAAGCCUGAUGUCGAUCUGGGGCCUUGUUUGCUCGAGCCUCCUCACGUCCUGUUCCAAAUAUAAUAUUAAUUUCCCAAUUAACAAUCUAAUAUUUAAUCAAAAUAGACAAAAUUACCCGAGAGUCAUAAAUACGCUCAUCAUUGCCUAACUUCGAUAUUCUUAAAUCGGAACGAUCCGAACUUAAAUAUCAUCAUCGACAGUCGUAAAUACAACCUCCCCAAAAAAUAUGACUUAAAUCUUACGGCCGGAUUCUACAUUAAUUAACCGCCAAAAAUACCAAACUUCGAAAAUUCACAAACCUAUCCAAAUCGCAUCCAAAAAUUCCAUAAAUCACAUCAAUAAAAUCCCCUUAAUAUUCCACAUUUAAAACCCUAAAAAUCUCCCAAACCGGCGGUGGCGGCGGCUCCGCCAGCAGCGGCGGCCGGAAGCCGAUUCCCGCGACCUCCAAAACCUAUGAAAUUUUGACAGCAUCUUCCUCUCAUCAUGCUCUACAACUUCCCUAACUAGCACAAACCCAAAAUCCAAGCCUACCUAUGCCAAUCGAAUAGAAACAUCAAAAACGCCAUAAAACUUCCACCUCAAAUUUCUCCUUACCUAGCUCAAGAGGGAGUGAGUCCUUUUAGGGCAAGGCUGCUGGGUUGGAGGGCUACAAAACCGUACCAAGCUUGCCCGGAUUGGUGGCCGGAGGAGGGAGUUCCGGCGAAAAGCUUCCCGGCGUCUCCGGCGAGUUUUCUCUUCUUCCGGCGGGCUAACGGCUCGGGGGCUAGGCCGGGGAGGGAGAGGAGGAGAUGGGGGUCUGAACUGAGGUGGAGAGGUGGCUGGUGGCUGGCCGGACAGCGACAGCUGGCAGCUGGAAGUUUCCAGUGAAAGGGGAGAGAGCACGGGAAGGAGAAGGAAGAGAAAAGAGAAAGAAAAAAAAGAGAAGAAGAAAUAGGCUUGGGCCUCCUACCCGGUUCAAGUCCUAUAUAUAACCCAAUUCCAAAAAUAAAACACCCCGAAAAAAUAAUACCCGAAUAAAAAAUUACCUUUUACUGGCUAAAAUUUACCAUUUUUACCGUCGUCAUAUUUUCCUCCUACGAACAAUCCUCCGCACAUAAUCGUCCCCGAAACCCCUCUAGGGACCAAUUAAACUAUUAACUCAAUGACGAAGACGGAAAAAUUCUUAUUAUAACCAAGCUAGUAAAUAAGGUAAAAUAUAAGGGUCGGGAUGUGACAAUUCUCCCCUCCUUGAAAAAAUUUCGUCCUCGAAAUUAACAUACCUGUUAUUCGAAGAGAUAGGGAUACUGCUACAUCAUUUGCCCCUCUGAUUCCCAAGUAGCUUCUUCUACUUGAUGACUUCUCCAAAGCACCUUGACAAGUGGGAUUGUCUUAUUCCUAAGCACUUGCUCCUUUCGGUCGAGAAUCUGAACCGGUUCCUCUUCAUAGGUCAAAUCUCUCGCCAAACUGAUCGGCUGCUCUUGCAACAUAUGAGAAGGAUCGACAAUAUACUUGCGAAGCAUGGAUACAUGAAACACAUUAUGUAUCCGGGAUAACUCUGGAGGCAAGGCUAAUCGAUAAGCAAGUGAGCCCACUCGCUCUAAUAUCUCAUAAGGGCCAAUAUACCUCGGACUAAGCUUCCCACGCUUACCGAAACGUAGUACCCCUUUCCAAGGAGAUAGUUUCAAGAACACCCAAUCACCCACUUGAAACUCAAGGUCUCUCCUAUGGACAUCUGCAUAACUCUUCUGCCUACUUUGAGAGGUCUUCAGUCUAUCUCUAACAACUUUAAUCUUCUCAUUCGUAACAUGGAUUAACUUUGGGCCACAAAGCUCUUUUUCCCCUACUUCAUUCCAACACAAAGGCGUGCGACACUGCCUCCCAUAAAGAGUCUCAAAGGGAGCCAUACCAAUGCUAGAAUGAUAGCUAUUAUUAUAGGCAAAUUCCAUCAAAGAUAGGUUUUUAUCCCAACUCCCUCUGAACUGCAAGGCACAAGGCCUCAACAUAUCCUCCAAAGUCUGAAUAGUCCUCUUGGACUGCUCAUCAGUCUGAGGAUAAAAAACAGUGCUGAAGAGUAAUUGGGUACCUAAAGCUGCAUGAAGAGCUCCCCAGAAUUUAGAAGCAAAUCGAGGAUCCCGAUCUGACACUAUUGAUUCAGGAACACCAUGAAGCCUCACAAUUUCAUUCACAUAGAGCUCCGCCAAUUUAUCCAAUUUAUACUUCUUUCCCACUGGCAAGAAAUGUGCAGACUUGGUGAGUCUAUCCACAAUCACCCAAAUAUCAUCAUGCCCAUCACGGGUACGAGGUAAACUAAAAACAAAAUCCAUGGUGAUGUAGUCCCACUUCCACACUGGAAUAGGCAAUGGCUCAAGCAAUCCAGAAGGCUUCUACUUCCUGACAAACCAGACAUCUACUCACAUAAGCUGCAAUUUCCCUCUUCAUGUUUGGCCACCAAUAAUAAUCCUUCAAAAUCCGAUACAUUUUUGUGCUACCCGGAUGAGCAGCAUAUGCGGAGCUAUGAGCUUCCUCCAUAAUCUUACUCUUCAACUCUUCAUUUCUUUUUGGAUGACAUAGCCGAUUCUUAAACAAUAGAGUCCCAUCUCUUCUAACUGAAAAAUGAUCGGCUGCGGCUCCAUUCGAAGCUCUUUCCAUCAAUCGAACUAUGGAAGGAUCAUUAUACUGUGCUUCCUGCACUCUAUCAACCAAAACUGGCCUCACAUGAAAACUGGCUAUUAAAGCACCAACCUCAUCUACUGAUAAAUCCACUCUUGUAGCUCGCAACUCACAAAGAAGCAGAACACGAACCAUAUUUAUAUGAGAUAAAGAUAUGGAGGGAUUUCGACUAAGAGCAUCAACUACCACAUUAGCUUUUUCAGGAUGAUACUCAAUAGUGCAAUCGUAAUCAUUGAUUAACUUCAUCCACCUUCUCUGUCUCAUAUUUAGCUCUCUUUGAGUGAAUACAUACCGAAGACUCUUGUGAUCGGUAAAAAUCUGACACUUGGCUCCAUAAAGAUAGUGUCUCCACAACUUGAGAGCAAAAACUACCGCUGCAAGCUCCAGAUCAUGGGUAUGAUAAUUCCCCUCAUGCGGCUUCAAUUGCCUAGAAGCGUAGGCAAUAACUCGAUCAUGCUGCAUCAAAACUCCACCUAGACCACGUCUAGAAGCAUCACAAUAGACCACAUACUCUCCACUAUCAUCCGGAAGUGCCAAAACAGGAGCACUUGUUAAGCAAUUCUUCAAUUCUUGGAAACUUUGCUCACAUUGAUCUGACCAUUCAAACUUAAACCCCUUCCUGGUCAAUCUUGUCAGAGGAGCAGCAAUGUUUGAAAAAUCUUUCAUAAAGCGUCGAUAAUAACCUGCUAAUCCCAAGAAACUACGAAUCUCCGCCACAGUGGUGGGUCUUCUCCAAUUCGACACUGCUUCCACCUUUUGGGGAUCCACACUAACUCCUUCUGCAGAAAUCACAUGACCCAAAAACUCCACUUUAUCUAGCCAAAACUCACACUUGCUAAACUUAGCAAAUAACUGCGACUUUUCCAAAGUCCGCAAUAUUAUUCUUAGAUGCUUGGCAUGCUCCUUCUCACUUCUUGAGUAAACCAAUAUAUCAUCUAUGAAUACGAUCACGAAACGAUCAAGGUAUGGACUAAACACCCUAUUCAUGAGAUCCAUGAACGCCGCGGGUGCAUUAGUAAGUCCAAAAGGCAUCACCACAAACUCAUAAUGACCAUAUCGUGACCGAAAAGCAGUCUUGGCUAUGUCCCCCUCUCGGAUCCGCAACUGAUGAUAACCCGAUCUCAAAUCAAUCUUAGAGAAAACAGAGGCACCCCUNAACUGAUCAAAUAAUCAUCGAUCCGAGGCAACGGAUAUUUANNNNNNNNNNNNNNNNNNNNAAAACAAUCUACUAUAGCUCUAUAUGCUUCCAAAAAGUCCAUUCCUAAGAUCACAUCAAACUCCACUAUAUCUAAAGGAAUUAAAUCAAUCUCGAAAUUAACUCCUUCCACUAAAACUUCACAACCACCAAAUACCCAAUUUAUUCUCAUCACUUCACCGGAGGGUAGAGACACAUGCCACUCGCCUGGAAGAGACGAUGACGACACAUUGGCAUGGAGGGCAAAUCUACUAGACAUGAAUGAAUGCAUGGCUCCGGGAUCAAUUAAAGUAAAAGCAGGCUGACCAAAAAUUAAUAACGUACCAAUGAUGACAUCUGGAGAAGUACGACCCUCCUGCUGGGUCAUAGCAUGCAGUCUAGCGCGAGUCAUGGGACGUCCACGCUGACCACUUCCCCGCUGAGAGCCAUCUCUGACCGAAGCACUGCCCUGGGCACCACUACUAGAGCCUCUAACUGAAGACUGACCAACUGGCUGAGUAGGGGUGGGGGUCGUCCUCUGAGCCAAUAAUGGACAAUCUCUCCUGAAGUGGUCUUGACUACCACACUCAAAGCACCCAGAAAACUGCUGCUGCCCAUAAGAAAAAGUCUGGCUACCGGAUGACCCACCAUGGAAGCUACCACCAGAAUCAUACUGCCCAGACUGCUGCCUACCCAACUGACUCCUAGCAGGUCUCUUGUGACGUCCUCUAACCCUGAACCGAGAAUUAGAACCUGAUCCCCCACUACUGCCACUACCAGCUGAAGAACCAGAAGCGGAUAAUGAAGCAGCUUUCUUGGAUGGACCCUGACUAGGGCCACCGAAAUCUCGUGGCCGAGCACUAUAAAUCCCCAUAGACUCAAUGGUCAUGGCUGCAUGAACAACAUCAGGACAAGUCGGGUAAUAAACACCCGUCAUCUUAUUUGCAAACACUCCACCAAGUGCCCCAAUGAACAUCUUCAUCCUGGUCCUCUCAUUAGGAACCAAAUAUGACACAUGGUAGCUCAGGGAAGUGAAUCUCUCUUCGAACUCUAUAACACCCUCAUCAUCCCUCUUCUUCAUAUUCAGGAAAUCCGACUGAAUUCUGCUGCGGUGGGCAGGACUGAAAUACUACCCCAAGAAAAGUGUCUUAAACUGCUCCCACGACAUAUUCAGAGCAUCCACAACAUUCCUGCUAGCGAGCGACCACCAGUGAUGUGCUGAAUCAUCUAGGAAAGUCACUGCCAUCUUCACCUUCCUUUCUUCUGGCAAAUCUGUGCUCGCAAAAGCCUUUUCCAUUUUGUCUGCCCAAGUAUAAGCAUCAAGAUGUCCCUUGGCACCCUUGAACUCUCUUGCUCCAGCCUUAUAAACUUCUCUCCUCUUCACUGUAUAAGGGUGUGGAGCUCGAUCUAUAACAUCCCUCAGCAUAUUUCCAAUAUCAUCAACCAGUCCCCUGACCUCAUUGCCCUCAUCGGCAUUGGUCGAAGUAGCCAUACGGGGUUGCCGUGGGCGCCUAGGAGGCAUAGUACCUGAGGAAGAAGAAAUUUAGUAGUCCAUAAACAAGACUAACACAACAAUCACAUAUACCCAAUAACACAUAGCAUCAAAAGCAUAAAAUGCCAAUGAAUCCGCCGCGGUCGGAUCAUCACUCUAUAGACACUACGUGCUACUUAAGCAAAUAUGAUAGUGACAAGGAAGCAGGAAAAGGAAACCUAUAGCUCUGAUACCAACUGACACGACCCACCCCGAAUUUCACCCUGAAACCUGGAGUAAGUCGUGCGGGGACCACCUCCAAGGAAAAUUUACUAAAAAGAUUGAGAAAAUCUCCCUUGAAAAUGGACAACCCUAACUCGAAAAUUCCAAAUUACACUCUUAAUACAACACGUCCAAACAUCACAUAAUUAUCCUUCAGAAAUUCUAAACAUAAUAUACAAUAAUCCCAAAGUAUUCAGAGCUACUAGACACUAGCGGAAGCAAGAAAACACUAGUAGGUUAAACAGGUAACCUACUGAUGAAAACUAGCCUCGCCUCCUACUAGAUCCAACCCGAACUCUACAGACUGGGCAAUUUAAAACGAAGGGCCCAGGGAAAACAUUUAAUAACGUUAAAGUGAGUGGACAAAAAUAAAAUAAUAAAUAAAAUAUUUAUGUUUACCCAAAUUAAUUUCUAAGGAAAAAUCGAAUGCAUGCCGCAAGCGAUAAAACUUUUAUCUCAUAAAAUAUCGAGUCUCUCAGACUCUAUAAUAUAUGUAUGUAUUUACACUCGUCCAUACUCCCUAUAUAAAUUCAUGGGUUUAUAUAGGGCUAUUACGCUCGCGUCCAACGCUCAUGUCACGCCUUAAUGCGGUGCUACACUACGCCAUUAAGGUGGACAAACGGGUGUAUAAAUGUGUCCAUACCCCCUAUGUGAAUUAAACACUCAUGUAAGGCUACUACGCUCACGUCCAACGCUCACGUCACACCAUAAUGCGGCUAUAUGCUACGCCAUUAUGGUGGACAGACACAUAUGGCUAGCUAGCAUUUUAUAUACAUACUCUCUCCUAAAUACAUAUUUAUAUCCACCGAAAAUCUCAUUUUCGGUAACUCUCCAAGAGAAAUAAAAUUCGUUAAAUUAAAAUGACGUUAAAAUAUUCCGCAACAAUUAUUGUUCAACCAUGAACUCUAGCAUGCAUUUUAUUUAAAACAAAAGUCCACUCACUAAUUAGGCCUAAGCCUGAUGUCGAUCUGGGGCCUCGUUUGCUCGAGCCUCCUCACGUCCUGUUCCAAAUAUAAUAUUAAUUUCCCAAUUAACAAUCCAAUAUUUAAUCAAAAUAGGCAAAAUUACCCGAGAGCCAUAAAUACGCUCAUCAUUGCCUAACUUCGAUAUUCUUAAAUCGGAACGAUCCGAACUUAAAUAUCAUCCUCGACAGUCGUAAAUACAACUUCCCCAAAAAAUACGACUUAAAUCUUACGGCCGGAUUCUACAUUAAUUAACCGCCAAAAAUACCCAACUUCGGAAAUUCACAAACCUAUCCAAAUCUCAUCCAAAAAUUCCAUAAAUCACAUCAAUAUAAUCCCCUUAAUAUUCCACAUUUAAAACCCUAAAAAUCUCCCAAACCGCUGGCGGCGGCCGGAGGCCGAUUCCGGCGACCUCCAAAACCUAUGAAAUUUUGACAGCAUCUUCCUCUCAUCAUGCUCUACAACUUCCCUAACUAGCACAAACCCAAAAUCCAAGCCUAGCUAUGCCAAUCGAACAGAAACAUCAAAAACGCCAUAAACUUCCACCUCAAAUUUCUCCUUACCUAGCUCAAGAGGGAGUGAGUCCUUUUAGGGCAAGGCUGCUGGGUUGGAGGGCUACAAAACUGUACCAAGCUUGCCCGGAUUGGUGGCCGGAGGAGAGAAUUCCGGCGAAAAGCUUCUCGGCGUCUCCGGCGAGUUUUCUCUUCUUCCGACGGGCUAACGGCUCGGGGGCUAGGCCGGGGAGGGAGAGGAGGAGAUGGGGGUCUGAACUGAGGUGGAGAGGUGGCUGGUGGCUGGCCGGACGGUGGCAGCUGGCAGCUGGAAGUUUCCGGCGAAAGGGGAGAGAGCACGGGAAGGAGAAGGAAGAGAAAAGAGAAAGAAAAAAAGAGAAGAAGAAAUAGGCUUGGGCCUCCUACCCGGUCCAAGUCCUAUAUACAAUCCAAUUCCAAAAAUAAAACACCCCGAAAAAAUAAUACCCGAAUAAAAAAAUACAUUUUACUAGCUAAAAUUUACCAUUUUUACCGUCGUCAUAUUUUUCUCCUACGAACAAUCCUCCGCACAUAAUCGUCCCCGAAACCCCUCUAGGGACCAAUUAAACUAUUAACUCAAUGACGAAGACGGUAAAAUUCUUAUUAUAACCAAGCUAGUAAAUAAGGUAAAAUAUAAGGGUCGGGAUGUGAAAGUUUCCAAAAUAACCCACACACAUUUUUCUACUUAUACACUUUUCAAACCCGGAAACUAACUUCCUCUGACCAUAACUUCCUCAUACGAAGUCCGUUUUACGCGUGUCACGUGUCUACGAACUCGUAUCGCUAUGCUCUACAACUUCCGUGAAGGAAGUUUCAUAAGAAACCCAAUGAAUAAAAAGUCAAGUAAAAAGUAAACCGAAAAAAAUAAAUAGAAACUAGUAUCUAAAAUUCCGGGAUAUUACAGCGGGGUCUUCAAAUCUCUUAUCUCUAUGGUAUCGAUGGUUUUGUGUGGUUAGAGUGAUGUAAGACAAAGUAUUCAUGUUUUGAUUCUGGGUUUGUUAUUAUUUCUGGAUUGGUUCGCAAAUUUUAUUUUGGAAUCUGUUAAUAAAAUGAAUUGAAAUUUGUUUAGUUCUUGUGGUUUAAAGUCGACAUAUGUUCAGUCCUUAUGAUUUUAUUUUAAUCUGAAUAGUCUUUAAAGUCACGGUUUUUCAUCAAAAUGGUCAUUUUAUCAAUUUUUUUUGUUACAAUAUUGACGUGGCCGUUAAACACAUUGUAAUUUUUAACUAUUGGGUUUCCAUGUAACGCCCUGUACCCAAUUUUACCUAUUUACUGGGUAUUCUACGAGUUACUGAGGAAUUUAACCGUGCUCAGUAACUUAGUAAGUUAACACUCGAGUUUAUUUGCAAGUUCUUCUGGAAAUGUCAAAAUCUUCUUUUAAGGUUUUGGUGUCGUAGUUCGUGUCGACACGGGUUCUCCGGUGUUUUCGGUUUAUUUUCGGAGCUUUGAAGUAUUUUAUACGAUUUAUUGGAGGCUUGGUAAAAGAAAUUAAUUUUCUGAAAUUAGAAUAGCUCAUUUAAUCUUGGCCGUCUGAUCGAGUAGGGUUUCGAUCUUGACCGUUGAUUCGGGUAUAAAGGGAAAAGAGGGGGUUGACUUGGUCAAGCACCCAGCCUAGGGCGUUGACCCGAGCUCCGGCCUCUCCCUUCUCUCUCUUUCUUCUACGUCGUCCCCCGUGCCGGAGCGCUGCCGUCCGGCCACCCGUGGCGACGAGACCACCACCAAUCUCUUCCUCUCCUUCUCUUCUAUCUAACCCGAUCCAUAGAACUCGACUUUAGCCUGAUUCAAAGCCAAACCAAGGGAGAGAAGCCUAGGCUGUUUUCCGACGAAUCCUCGAGAUUCGGGCCACGGAGUGACGAGUGUGAGGUAGGGUUAUCUUCCUCUCUUCCUACUUCACCUUCUGGUACCUUUCUUUUCCCCAAAUCGUGCCCUAAUUGAAAACCCUUUUUUCUGUGUUUUCCGGGUUUCGAGCUCCUAGCUCCGGCGACCUGCUCUCGGUGGUUUAUGGCGAGUUCUUCAGCGUUUUGGUAGGUCCUGUGAGCUUUGUGUGAAGUUGAGACGGACAUUGGUGGAGUUGCAUAUCGAUCGGGACCGAGGCAGAGGUCUGGUGCGCUUGACCGGAGAGGAUCCGAGGUGAAUGGUGUUGUUACAGUGAAGAAUGAGGCAGCGAUUGUGGAUGUUUGGGGGUCCUGCAUAUUGAGUCCGGACCAGGAGAGUUCUUGGGAUAACACUUGAGAUCGAUGGAAGGUAAUCUUGAUCUCCUUUGAUGUUAUAUAGUUGUUGUGUGGAUAUUCGGACUGAUUGGAUGCAUUUUUGGUGUUGCUUGUCGAUAACUCGGUGAUUCAAAGUUUACGGGGAGGUUAUGGUGAAAUUUCGGCAAGUCGCCGGAAUCUGAUGGAGUUUUCCGGCAAUUUACUAGAAUCCGGCGAGGGCAGAAAUCCGGCAGAGACCGUAGAGGUAGUUGUCGAGUUCCUCUUCGAUUAGUGUUGUAGCUCCUAAUUAGAAAGUUUCUAUUUUAGAAAAGGAAUAUGUUGAUGACAUCCUUAUUACCAGGAACAAUCUAGAUUCCAUUCGUGCUACCAAAGAAUUCCUACAUGCUCGUUUUCACAUUAAAGACUUGGGUGACCUUAAGUAUUUUCUUGGUAUUGAAAUUACACGAUCACAAAAGGGCAUUUAUCUAUCACAACGCAAGUAUGCGUUGGAGAUUAUUAAAGACACUGGUUUCUUAGGUGUUAAACCUAUUGAUUUUCCCAUAGAAGAAUCCAAGUUGUUAAAUAACAGAGAGCAGCUCAAGGAUCCACCUAUAUAUCAACGUUUGGUUGGAGGACUGAUAUAUCUCACAAUUACCAGACCCGACAUUACUUAUGCAGUUCAUGUCCUUAACAGAUUUAUGCAUGACCCUCGUCAGCCUCACAUGGCAACUGCCCUUCGGGUUGUCAAGUAUUUAAAAUCAUCUCCUGGUCAAGGUCUGUUUUUGAGUUCCAGCAAUGAUUUAAGUUUAUAGGCUUUUUGUGAUUCUGAUUGGGCUGGUUGCCCUAUCACUCGUCAGUCUACGACUGGAUAAUAUUUUCUUAGGAAAUUCCUUGAUCUCAUGGCGCACUAAGAGGCAAAAGAUAGUAUCUUUAUCAAGUGCUGAAGCAAAAUAUAGAGCCAUGGCUGGUACAUGUUGUGAACUUACUUGGUUGCAAUAUUUAUUUGCUAAUUUGCAUAUUCCUGUUUCUAGACUAGCCAUCUUGCAUUGUGAUAAUCAGGCAGCUCUUCAUAUAGCCACUGUCACACCCCGGUUUUUAAGUUAUUUUACGGUUAAUUACUUUUGGUUUUACUUUAGUCUUUUACCAUGUUGGGUAAUUGUUUACCGUUAAGGACCCUAGAGUUGACUUUUUGUGGGAAAUAUAUCUUGGAAAAAUUUCUUUAAGAAAGUCGUAGAGGACGUUAUUACGAAUUCGUAGACAUGCUAAACGUUAAAAUCGAAAAUAACAUGUAAAAGUUAUUAAAUAAAAAAGGUAAGUUUUGAGUUGGUAAAAAGGGGGGUAAAAUUUAGUGGGUUUUAUUUUUGGUUAGGUAUUAAGCUGGACCGGGUGUGGGAGAAGCCCAACACCCACACUCUUUCUCUCUCUUCCUUCUCUCUUCUCUCCGGUGAACUCUCCACAACCCGCUGGAAACCCAACCUCCGUUCGUCGCAGUCCAGCCACCAUAGACCGCCGCACCGGUCCCAAACGGUCGGCCGUCCACCCAGCUCUCUCCUUGGACCAGUGAGAGCCACCCUAGUGCCGCCGUGAGGAGAGCGAUCGUCUGGAAGCUCCGACUGCAUGUGGAGUCCCGUCGCCGGAACUCGCUCCUCCGGCCACCAUAGCCGGUGAUUUUUGGCUCAUCUUGUAGCUCUCAUCAAGGUGAGUAAUCCCUCAAAAGGAAAUGGUUCAAUUCGAUUUUGGUAGGGAGUAAUGUAUAAUUAAAGUUCUAGGGCUUAUUUCACUAUUUCAGUUCGAUUACCCUAGCUAGGCUUAGAAUUGGACUAAGUGCUAGUAAUGGAAGAUGUUGUGUGUAAUGAGAGGAUUAUUGUGUUAAAGCAUUGGACGUCGCCGGAGUACGACUGCCGGCCGCCGCUUCUCAAGGACAGUAUUUCAAGUUUUUGAGAUGGUUUUAAUGAGAGGGAUUUAAUGAAGUAAAGUUUAGAAUUUUUUGAGGAGUUUUGAUAAGGUUUGGGAUUUUUCAAUGGUUAAGAAUUGUGACGGUUGUUAAAAUGGAAUUUCAGCAGUUGGUUUAGCCGGUUUUAAAUUCUAAAAAGGUUAAUUUAUGGCUAUCGGUAAGUGCGGAGUAAUGUGAGUCUUAUUAGAUUAAAAGUGGAGAAGUUAGGUAAGGGAGAUGAAAUUAUAGGCUUCCUUUUUAUUUCGAAAAUAUUUAUUUAAGCUUUAAUCUAGUCUGGAGACUUAAUAUUAUUUAUUGUUCAGGACAUGAGGAGGAUCAUGUUGGGAGACCUUGGAUCGACGGCAGGCAUAGCCGUAUACAGUGAGUGGACAUUUUGAUUUUUAAUUAAUAUGCAUGCAUGAUUUUAUAAGUUGCCCAUUAUAUUUUCCAAGUUUAAAUUGUAAUUUCAGCUUAUGAAAUGGUCUUUGAAUUUAUUUGAUUUUGAUGCAUUGAUUAAUAUUCGCCAUGAGUUAUGAAAUUUAUUUGAGUUUGACAUAUUGGUUAUGUUUUCGAUAAUUAACUUAUGGAUUUGAGCUUCGGUUAAAAAUUUGGUAUUUGAGUUUUUAUAUUCUUUAUGAUUUUCAGAUUUGCAUAUUGCCUGGUUUUC
rnacentral:lncRNA from 1 species